rnacentral:rRNA from 1 species
GACGAAGGAUGCAAGCGUUAUCCGGAUUCAUUGGGUUUAAAGGGAGCGUAGGCGGCCUGGUAAGUCAGUGGUGAAAUCUCGCAGCUUAACUGCGAAACUGCCAUUGAUACUGCUAGGCUAGAGUACAGAUGCUGUGGGCGGAAUAUGACAUGUAGUGGUGAAAUACAUAGAGAUGUCAUAGAACACCGAUUGCGAAGGCAGCUCACAAAACUGUAACUGACGCUGAGGCGCGAAAGUGUGGGGAUCAAACAGG